AAGCAUAUCAAUAAGCGGAGGAAAAGAAACUAACAAGGAUUCCCCUAGUAACGGCGAGUGAAGCGGGAAGAGCUCAAAUUUAAAAUCUGGCGGUGUAUUCCGUCCGAGUUGUAGUCUAGAGAAGCAUCAUCCGUGCUGGACCAUGUACAAGUCUCUUGGAACAGAGCGUCAUAGAGGGUGAGAAUCCCGUCCUUGACAUGGACUCCCAGUGCUUUGUGUUGUGCUCUCAACGAGUCGAGUUGUUUGGGAAUGCAGCUCAAAAUGGGUGGUAAAUUCCAUCUAAAGCUAAAUAUUGGCGAGAGACCGAUAGCGAACAAGUACCGUGAGGGAAAGAUGAAAAGCACUUUGGAGAGAGAGUUAAACAGUACGUGAAAUUGUUGAAAUGGAAACGCUUGAAGUCAGUCGCGUUCUCUGGGAUUCAGCCUUGCUUCUGCUUGGUGCACUUCCUAGUUUACGGGCCAACAUGGAUUUUGACCGGUGGAAAAGGAUUUGGGGAAUGUGGCACCUCCGGGUGUGUUAUAGCCCCUUGUCGCAUACAUCGGUUGGGAUCGAGGUUUCAGUGCACGCUUCGGUUGUGCUUUGAUGUUGGCGUAAUGGCUUUAAACGACCCGUCUUGAAACACGGACCAAGGAGUCUAACAUGUCUGCGAGUGUUUGGGUGAAAAACCCAUGCGCGUAAUGAAAGUGAUAGUUGGGAACCUCUUACGAGGGGCACCGACGCCCGGACCAGACCUUCUGUGACGGAUCCGAGGUAGAGCAUAUAUGUUGGGACCCGAAAGAUGGUGAACUAUGCCUGCAUAGGGUGAAGCCAGAGGAAACUCUGGUGGAGGCUCGUAGCGAUUCUGACGUGCAAAUCGAUCGUCAAAUGUGGGUAUAGGGGCGAAAGACUAAUCGAACCAUCUAGUAACUGGUUCCUGC
rnacentral:rRNA from 1 species